rnacentral:tRNA from 1 species
GUUCGGGGAGGGGAAUCGGCGAGACUGUAAAUCUUGAGGUCGCUGGUUCGAUCCCGGCUCGGUUGAACA